rnacentral:rRNA from 1 species
CAGCCGCCACGGGAAUACGGAGGGUGCAAGCGUUAAUCGGAAUUACUGGGCGUAAAGCGUGCGUAGGCGGUUUGUUAAGUCUGUUGUGAAAUCCCCGGGCUCAACCUGGGAAUGGCAAUGGAUACUGGCAAGCUAGAGUGUGUCAGAGGAUGGUGGAAUUCCCGGUGUAGCGGUGAAAUGCGUAGAGAUCGGGAGGAACAUCAGUGGCGAAGGCGGCCAUCUGGGACAACACUGACGCUGAGGCACGAAAGCGUGGGGAGCAAACAGGAUUAGAUACCCGCGUAGUCCCUGUCUCUUAUAC